rnacentral:rRNA from 1 species
GUGCAGCAGGCGAGAAAACUUCACAAUGUGCGAAAGCACGAUGAGGGAAUCCCAAGUGCUUGCACGUAAGUGUAAGCUGUUUCUCUGUCUAAAACGCAGAGAGAGUAAGGGCUGGGUAAGACGGGUGCCAGCCGCCGCGGUAAUACCUGCAGCUCGAGUGGUGACCGUUAUUAUUGGGCCUAAAACGUCCGUAGCCGGUUUAAUAAAUGCCUGGUAAAUCGGACCGCUUAACGGUUCGAAUUCCGGGUAGACUGUUAAACUUGAGACCGGGAGAAGUUAGAGGUACUCCUGGGGUAGAGGUGAAAUUCUGUAAUCCUAGGGGGACCACCAGUGGCGAAGGCGUCUAACUAGAACGGGUCUGACGGUGAGGGACGAAGCCCU